rnacentral:rRNA from 1 species
UGAGGGAAAGCUGCAAAGUACUCUGAAGAGAGAGUUCAAAAGGACGUGAAGCCGUCUGCAGGGAAACGGGUGAGACCGCACGGUAGACCUACGGCGGAUUCAGCUCCGAGGGCAACUUCGGGGUGCACUUCCGCGCCAGUGGGUCGCGCAGGGCCCGGCUCGACGGCCGUCUGAAGCCCGGAGAGGAGGUGACGGGGUUCUUCGGAACUCCGAGUUUAACUCUUCGGCGCGGAGACCGGUUGUUGGGUCGAGGAACGUCCAUCCGUCUUUGACGCGUGGG